AUUCAUGUGACUGUGUUUCUUUUCUCUUUUUUACCCACAGAUCAACAAGAUAAACCUAACUGCCUAGCUGCAGAAAAAGGAUGAAAGAGGCUCCGCUGUGAACUGAAAUUUCAGCGGAGAUGCGAAAGCUGGCUGAUGUUCUGAAAUUAGCAUGAAGCCGCACUAGAGGAAACAGAGGGAUUCUUCCCUGUUGUACAAAGGACCCUGUGAACUUUCCAAAUGCCUGAAAUCUCAUUACUGACAACACUUUUUGCCCUGUUGUGCAUCACCUCUAGCAGUUACCACUUUGCAGCUCCCAGACUUAGCGAACCAAAGGAUUUCCUCCAAGCCCAGACGCACCGGUUCUCACUCUCCGUAGACAGCCCACACUGAGAACAACAGAAAUGCUCAAUGGUAAC
rnacentral:lncRNA from 1 species